rnacentral:tRNA from 1 species
GAGGGUACGGCUCAGUGGUAGAGUGUGUGCUUAGCAGGCAUGAGGUCCUGGUUUCAAUCCCCAGUGCCUCCA